UUAAAUAAGUUCUAAAUAUAAACACAAAAGACGACUUUUGAUGAAUUCAUUUAAGAUUUUAAAUAUUUGAACUCAGGUCUAUCUUAUGCAAAACUACUGGACAUCACAUGGUUGAAGAGGUAAAUAAACUGUAAAUUAUUUCAAUGUUGUGUGGGCAUGUACGGUAGCAGAUUCUCUUGCACGGUUCCUAUGUUGACUUUAAAUGUUGUUUAAAAUGUUUUUUGUUUGUUUAGUUAGUCAGUCUGAACUUUUUUCUUUUUUUUUGUUUUGUUUUUGUCUUUUCAAUAAGAAACUCUGGGAGAUUUAAUUUAGAAAUAAAAGGGAAAAAAAAAAAUCCCGAAAAAAAAAUUAACCCCUCUCUUCUGGGACAACCAAGCCUUAUAAACUUUGUGAAGUGAAAACAAUUUUGAAUGUUUGUAUGUUAUAAAAGGAAAAAAUAUGAUUGUUUUAUAUGUUAAUACUGCCACAAUAAAGCUCUCUAAUGAAUAUAUAUUGAA